AGCAGCCGCGGUAAUUCCAGCUCCAAUAGCGUAUAUUAAAGUUGUUGCAGUUAAAAAGCUCGUAGUUGAAUUUCGGGAUCAAGGAAUCGGUCAUGCCUCGGUAUGUACUGGUUUUAUUGGUUCUCACCUUCUAAAGAACCAUGAUGUCAUUCAUUUGAUGUUAUGGGGAAUUAGGACUGUUACCUUGAAAAAAUUAGAGUGUUUAAAGCAGGCUUACGCUUGAAUACAUUAGCAUGGAAUAAUGAAAUAGGACAUCAGAUUCUAUUUUGUUGGUUUCUAGGAUCGAUGUAAUGAUUAAUAGGGAUAGUUGGGGGCAUUAGUAUUCAAUUGUCAGAGGUGAAAUUCUUGGAUUUAUUGAAGACUAACUACUGCGAAAGCAUUUGCCAAGGAUGUUUUCAUUAAUCAAGAACGAAAGUUAGGGGAUCGAAGACGAUCGGAUACCGUCGUAGUCUUAACCAUAAACUAUGCCGACUAGGGAUCGGAUGAUGUUUUAUUUUUAGUGACUCAU
rnacentral:rRNA from 1 species